UGAGGAAUAUUGGUCAAUGGACGGAAGUCUGAACCAGCCAAGUAGCGUGCAGGAUGACGGCCCUAUGGGUUGUAAACUGCUUUUGUAUGGGGAUAAAGUUAGGGACGUGUCCCUAUUUGCAGGUACCAUACGAAUAAGGACCGGCUAAUUCCGUGCCAGCAGCCGCGGUAAUACGGAAGGUCCAGGCGUUAUCCGGAUUUAUUGGGUUUAAAGGGAGCAUAGGCUGGAGAUUAAGUGUGUUGUGAAAUGUAGACGCUCAACGUCUGAAUUGCAGCGCAUACUGGUUUCCUUGAGUACGCACAACGUUGGCGGAAUUCGUCGUGUAGCGGUGAAAUGCUUAGAUAUGACGAAGAACUCCGAUUGCGAAGGCAGCUGACGGGAGCGCAACUGACGCUUAAGCUCGAAGGUGCGGGUAUCAAACAGG
rnacentral:rRNA from 1 species